UACGGGGGGGGCAAGCGUUGCUCGGAAUUACUGGGCGUAAAGCGCGUGUAGGCGGCUAAGUAAGUCGGGCGUGAAAUCCCACGGCUCAACCGUGGAAGUGCACUCGAAACUGCAUAGCUAGAGUCCUGGAGAGGAAGGUGGAAUGCUUGGUGUAGAGGUGAAAUUCGUAGAUAUCAAGCGGAACACCGGUGGCGAAGGCGGCAUCCUGGACCGGCAUUGACGCUGAGGAGCGAAAGCCAGGGGAGCAAACGGG
rnacentral:rRNA from 1 species